GAAAGGGGUCAAAAGCAUAGGCUGGAGGCAUCCAGGAUGAACACAACCCCGCCUUCCCUCCUCUUUGGGAAAACACCAUAGAUCUGGUGGCGGGAGAUACUUGUAGGAAGAGUGAAGGGACUUCAGAGAGAGCCAUUUGGGGUCCUUUGGAGAGAAGUAGCCUUUGGGCUGCCAAGCCUCUUGGAGUUGGACUAUUUUCCAGGUAGGAAGACCCUUGCCCUUGGAAGAAGCAAGAGAGGCCAGGACAGAAUCUUAAGGAAAAGAAUCUGAGUGAUUAGGACUGAUGUCCGUCUGAUGUCUCUGAAGGGAGAAACUGAAAGAGAACCUUGGGAUUUCCUCCUGUGCUUUCUAGUCCAGGGCUGGAGAGAAAGCAGGAAUCAGGGACAGAAGCCCCAUUCAGGAAAAGCAUGUACAAGUGGUGACCCUUCAUGGAGCAGGAUAAACGGGGCCCUCGGCUGGACAUCCCAGAGUGGGGAGGAGCAAGGAUCUCUGCCACUGCACAGAAUUACUGAGCAAUUGUGCUGAUUUAGUACUUCUCAGGAGGAGCUGUCAUCAUGAUGUGCCCAGCACAUCAACCAAGAAGGAACAUUUCCAUCAGUAAGACUGGCUUGUUUCCAUGGCAAUGGUACAUUUCCCUUUUCUCAGCAGUCUGGCCUCAGCCAUCAGUGCACUGAGCCAUUCAAACGUCCCCAUCUGUAGAGUGCUGGUUCCUGAGGCUGGAAGUCUUCAGGAACACAACUUAUAAACUUCAGCCCCUGGCAGUGCAUUCGAUCUGAGCUAACCUGCCCAGAAUUCAAUCCAGAAGUCAGAAUUACCCGGGGGUGCUCAGCAGAAGAUCAAAAGAUGCUGCUUCUCCCUCUGCAAGUCCAAUCAUCUUGUUUUGGAAAAAAGUAAUUCAUAUGCAUUUAAGCUCUUAUUGAGGGGCAGGCACUGUUUAGUGUUCCUCAAAGGAACCUGUUUGGACCAAUCCAACAGCUGACUUACCUUAGGCAUUUUAUAAAGAGAUAGUACCCUUUGGAUGCCUGGGAGUGGGGUGUGGGCCAAGCCCAGGGGUAGGAGAGAGGUCUGCUGACAGGGCUGAGAAGGGCAGGUGUUCUGUCACAGCAGAACAAGGUGAUUCCUUCUGGGCAGCCACAAGGGUCAUGGCUCAAAGGGCAGAGUUGCAAAGCCCGUGGAUGAGAAGUUGGGCCAAACUGGUAGAGAUGGAGAGCAGAGAGAAAGACCAAGGGCAAAACAGCAGGUCCUAUGCAGUCUCCAAAGGCCACAUUCAAAGGCUCAGAAAUUAUUCUUAUUGAUAUCCAAGCAUGAGUUCCAAGGGGUGGAUUGGAUGAGGGUAGACAAUUGGCUCAGAUGAGCCAGAAGUGCCUUCCUGAUAUAACGCAUUUACUAAGAAGAUCCUUUUCCCUGUGAAAGGUACUCUCCGGGAAAGGAAGCAUCCUAGCACAUUAUCCCUGAGGCAGCUAUACCUCUACAUAGAAGGCCUAAUGUCAGUAAGUAGAGUCAAGGUCAUCCUAACCCACAUCACCAAUGAGCCUUGGACUCCCCAAGACAUUGACUAUAAAGCAUUGACUGUACCUUAGGAUGACUUGGGAAGGGGGUGGCUUUUGCAAAAAAUUAGGGCCAGGGGCAUCCCCUAACCAAGUGAAACGGGGUGUCAAGGGGUACUUUUUAAAAUCUUCUAGGUGAUUCUAAUGUACAACCAUAGCUGAGAACCACUGACCUAAUACAAACCUGACUUGAAAGAUAAGGAAAGGAGAUAGCAGGUCAACUUCAUCAGACUCCCAUGAAGCCCACCAGCACCAGUGCCACCACCACAGUUUAUGCCAGGCACGUGCCUGAAACCUUCUGACUCAACCAACAUCCAGCCUGCCUGCUUCUCAACAGGAAAAAAAAAUGCAUCUAUAAAACCAAAUCAACUCUGACACCCACAAUUAAUCCACCCUUCAGCAUACCCCUCCUGAGAAUGGGUCUAAACUAACUUGAACCACAUCAUCUUCUCUUUAAUUUUUUAAAUGCCCUUGGGGAGUAUAACACCUCCCUACCCCACCCCUAAAUACAAAUCAAAAUCAGAAAGGAUCAAGUCCCUUGUCAUAGAGAGAAUUUUCUCCCUCCCGCCCUUAUCUUUGGAGUCUUCAUUAUGCCUGUUAAACUUUAUUUCUCUGGAUGACCAGUUCAUCUGCCUUACCCCUUCUCUCUGUUUGACGGAUUCCUACUUCUCCUCUAACAAAAACAAAAAUAAUAGCCAGGAUCAUGAUGACAGAUCACAUUUUUAUGGGUGAUUUGCUCUGUGCACAACUUGCAUUAAGCAUUUUGUUUGCAGACACAUCUCAUUUAAAGCUCACAACACCACUAUGAUGCUGUUAUGUCAUUUACAAAAGUGGGAAUGGCCAAAGUCACAAAGCUAGGAGGUGAGGAAGCAAGCUUACAGACCCAUGCAGCCCCAUCCCAGCUGGGCUCCUCACCCUGCUGCUAAAUGCCUCUCUGAAAAUUCAGCCCAGAUGUCACUGUCUUCAUUUUUUUUAAUAAUUGUAAUCAUUGCUAAAGCCAUACCAGGCACUAGAAAAUUUAUUACACUGGUAUCAAAAAUAUGUGUACAUUUGAAAUUUUUCAUAACAGAAAGCUUUUUAAAGUAUUAUGUAAAUAAUAAUAUUUUUAGAAAUUUAAAAUCUAG